rnacentral:lncRNA from 1 species
GGGUUCGGAAGGGGCUGGGUUGGGGUGAUGCUGGGCUCGAACCGGUGGUAUUGCAUUCCGGCGGGCGGGGCUGGGUUCGGAAGGGGCUGGGUUCAGACGGUGUUGGGUUCGGGAGAUGCUGGGUUCCGAUGGUGCUGGGCUCGAUCCAGUGGUAUUACAUUCCGACGGGCGGGGCUGGGUUCGGAAGGUUCUGGGUUGCGACGGUGCUGGGUUCGGACGGGAGGGGCUGGGUUCCGACGGUGCUGGGCUCGAACCCGCGUGGCUGGGCUCCUUGCGGUAUUAUUGCAUUCCGACGGGCGGGGCUGGGUUCGGAAGGUGCUGGGUUCCGACGGUGCUGGCUUCCCUGGGGCGGUGUGGGCGGUAGAGGGCGGAGGGACCGAGAGCGCGGUGCAGACACCCUUUCUGCGCGUGACUGUCCAGCGAUCGGCGAGUACUGACCACACAGAGGGCCUGCGUCCGCUCCUCUCACCCCGCCCCAUCCCCCGGGAUGUCCCCCCGGGUGUCCCCUGAUUAUUUAUGAUCCGUUCCAGGGCGACUCCCUUCUGUUGGGGUCGCAUCAAAGCAGACCUUUGCAAGCUGCCUUCUUCCCAGAAGGAUAAACUAUGGUGCUCUGUGUGUGUAUUUCCACGAUAAUGUUUUGAAACCCUCCCAGUGUUUCCAGAGGCCGCUCUCCUUCUGCUUUCCAGUGUCCUUUGAUCCUGCACGCUGUCGUCCCCUAGUCUCAUGCAGCGUGAAGUCGCAGUGUCCGACUCCCUUUGUGUCUCUGCUCAGAAGACACGUCUUCUCCCAGACAGAUUGUCUCUGCGGACGCUCCACAGACAUAGAUAAGGGACCACAGAGUUGGCAUAAUAAAUAAAAGCGGAGAGGAGAGUCAUUUGAUGUACCUCCUUUGGCACAGGGCAAUGCUAUGUGAACACAGUGUUAGCGCCUCUAAGUGUCCCUGUGGAUGUGGAGACCUAAUGAUGGCAAUGUGUGGAAGAUCAUUUUUCUCUCCACCAGUUGGAGUUCUUCUUUUGUGGGGAAGAAGAGAAUCCUGCCAUCUCUGCUGGGUUUUGUCUUCAGCCCUCCUUUCUACUGCAGCAGUGCAGUGCAGCCACAUAAGGAGGCUUUUCAGCCCAGCAGCCUGAGGUGUUGAACCCAUGCCACGGAGGGAUGAAUUCUUCAAUAGAUCUCUAGUCCUCUUCCUCAAAAUUAAAGUGUGGUGGCUUGCAGAAAAGCAUAUGUGUAUAAAUGGCGUCUUCAUGUUCUAGCAUUCUGUUCCUUUAUGCUUGAAGUUCCCAUGCUCCUUUAUAGACUCAAGUUGUCUUUUGUUUUUUUGUUUUGUGUAUGUGUGUGUGUGUGUGUGUGUGUGUGUGUGUGGUGAGCAUCACGGUGUCAAGACAGCUCGGGACUGUCUAGCUAGGUUCCACACAUGCCAUGCGGGUUAUCAGCCGUAGUGUCAGCUGAAUGCUAACAGU